rnacentral:siRNA from 1 species
AUCUGCCAGGUAUGUCUCACAGAU